ACCACCACGGUGACUUGUAAGCAACUCACUGUACUUUAAUAUCAGAUCAUCUGAGUUUUUAACUUAAUAACGGAAGGAUACUAGGUGCAGUCAAGUACUUAUCAAGUCAGUGUGUGAGUCAAGAUGGAAUUGACCCCUCUGAAUUGAUAAGAGAUAUGCAUCAGUGUAUUUUAAUUUAGCAAAACCUUAGCCAGGAUAAUCCAUGAGAUGGAUUUGAAAUGUUAAAAUACAAUAUGGUUGACUUAAUUAGGAUUGACAGUAAAACCUUAGGUCACCUUGAGCAUUUGGAUCAAAGAGAUGAAUUAUACGAUAAACAUACGCCAA
rnacentral:lncRNA from 1 species